GUCCUAGCCGUAAACGGUGUGCACUUGAUGUAGGAGGAAUUAUCCCCUUCUGUGUCGUAGCUAACGCGAUAAGUGCACCGCCUGGGGGAGUACGGUCGCAAGAUUAAAACUCAAAGGAAUUGACGGGGGCCCGCACAAGCGGUGGAGCAUGUGGCUUAAUUCGAUGCAACGCGAAGAACCUUACCUGGACUUGACAUGUAACUGCACGCUGGGCGAAAAGCCCGGAAGCCUUCGAGGGUGUUACACAGGUGCUGCAUGGCUGUCGU
rnacentral:rRNA from 1 species